rnacentral:lncRNA from 10 species
CUUGAAGGAGGGGGUGGAAGGAAGGAGAGGUUCAGAAAAACCACAACCACCAACACCACAACAACAGCAACUGUUGGGUACUAUGCUUAGUACCUGGGUGACAAAAGAACUGUAUCCCAAACUCCUGAGUCAUGAGUUUACCUGUAUAACAAAUUAGUAUCUAUACUCCAGAACCCAAAAUAAAGGAUAAAAUAUUUUUUUAAAAAAGCUUUUAUACUUGUUUCUGCAUACCCCCUAAAAAUAAAGUGUCUACAUAAUUUUUGGCACUUAAUAGACAGUCAAAUGAUUGUUUAAUUGCCAUUUAAAUGAAUAUGAAACCAUCUAGAAUGUUCCACUGCUUUUCUCCCUUCUUAUUCACCAUCUAUCCAAAUCCUACUCGGCCACAUGACCCCACAUAAUUGCCUGUCAUCCUAGUCAAUCAGCUCUUUCUGCUGUGGAUUCUUAAGCCAUUUUAUUGUUUAUUAUGAUUUUAAUCCUAGAUGUUUCAAUGCACCGCAAUGCACACCUUGCCUUUCCCAAAUAUUCCACACAUUGAAGUUCUGGAGGAAACUCUAUCUAGGCUAUCUAGCAUUAGGUAUGUGUGAAUCAUAUCACAUUCAGUAUAUAAUGUAAUCAAAACUACUUCCGGCAUUGUCCACAUUUUCAAAUGAUAAUGAUAAAAAUAAGUCUCAGAUUAAUAAAAUCGCUCACCUAUGACAUCAGGACUAGGAAGGCACAGAGUCAGGGUUGAAACCCAGGCUUCUCUGGUUCCAUAUUGUGCUCUUUCCCUUUCUGCCUUUUAGUAAGACUUCAGAAUGGUCACCAUUGACCAAAGUCCUCAAUUGCCCUUGCUGUCACUGAAGAAGAAAUCUGAGAACUUUGACCGGUAACAAGAGCUGAACGUUACAGAUAUGUGGGACAUAUAGACCCUGCCAACCUAGAGAGCUGGAAGCUAGAGGCUGCAGCAAACACACACAGAACCCUCUUGUCAUCUCCUGUAAUGAGGUCCAGCAUAUCCCAGCUUUCUAUGGGAUGGCUCACGCUGAUGCACUUGCCCCAAAAAGCAAUGCAACUUUUAUUUUGCAGGUUGGAAGACCAAGAUCAAGGUGCCAGCAAAUUCUCCUCCUGGGGAGGGCCUCUCUUUCUGGCUUGCAGAUGACUGCCUUCUCACUGUGUCCUCACACGGUGCAAAGGGAAAGCUCUGACCUCCUCCUCCGAUUCUAAGGACAAUGAUCUCAUCAUGAGGGUUCCAUCCCCAUGACUUCAUCUACACCUAAUUACUUCCCAAAGGCCUCACCUUCAAAUACACUGGGGAUUAUGACUUCAACAUAUACAUUUGGAGGGGACCACGAACACUCAAUUCAUAACAAAUAGAAUGUGAUUUGAAGCAACAGUUUUUGCUCACAUAGCAAAAUCCUUUCUAUUCUAUAAAUUAAAGAGGAGAUAGUGUGGAAUACUUAAUUCUGAAUAUUCAUAGAGGCAUAAAAUGUUUAUCUUAUUAUUCUAAAAAGCCUAAAUAUAUAUUCUAGAAAUCAGUGGAAUGAGGACUGUAGGUUUUAUUCCUGGCCCCAGCACUUACAAGCUGUGUCAUUUUGGAUAGGUUUCCAAACCUCUUAGAAGAGGCUCAUACUGGCCAAAUCUGGGACAAUUUGCACAUCAAUACAAAUGAUGAUAGUAGAGGAUUAUAGCCCACUGAAUAAAAUAGGAAUCCAUGUGUCUUCAAUAAAUAAAUAGAGAGAUGAUAAGGUUUUAGAUACCAAUAAUAUAGAUGUAGAUGAAAUGAUGGGGUCGCCCAAUCUUUUGACAACUGUCAUAGAAAGAAUUCAUUCGGGUAAGAAACACCAAUGGAUGCUAAAACUAGGAAAUGAAAAUGGAAUUUGGAACAGGAUUUUGCACCUUGUCAAAGAAACUUCUCACAAAAUAUCUGUUAACUACAAAGGUGAGAAAAGUAAUUUUAAUGUAGAAAAACUGGCUGACACCAAGUGAUCAAAAUUAAUAUAUUAAUGAGGCAAAUGGGCAUCAUGUGCCACCAGAAAAGAGGCAAUGGGAACACAGCAUUACUGGUGUGAAGUUUUGGCCAAAAACACAUAACCUGGAUCUAAUCAUGGUCAAACAUUGGACAAACCCAAAUGGAGAGACACUGCAAAAUAACUUGUCUAUGAUCUUCAAAAAUAUCAACAUAAGAAAAGUCUAGGAAUGGCUGAGUGGCUGGUUCAAGUUAAAGGAAAUCAGAGAGAUAGGACAACUUGGAGCAAUGUGUGAUACUGGAUUGGAACUUUUUACCAUAAAGAAAGUUAUUAGGAAAAUGAUAAAACUUGAAUGGCAUCUCUGGGUAAAUGGGGAUCCAGCAAUUCUUUGCGCUAAUCUUAUAAUGUUUUUCAACUUUGAAAUUGAUUAAAAUAAUAUGUAAAAACAUUGUAAAAAGAUAAAAACAAUGCAAAUUAUAUAAAACACUACAUAUUGUGAUGAGAGGAAACUAGUUGUGUAAAGAAUUUUGAAUUAAAUAUUAGAUUAAAUAUGAAUUUGGGGAGACUUUAGUUACCACUGUUAUUUUUGAGAAUAAUAAAAGAUAUUUCUGUUCUUGAUAGAUUAAUGCUAGUGCUUGUGAAACAAAAUCUCAAAACUUAAAAUGGCCUGUUGCUUUGAUCUUCUAAAUCCUAGUGUUAUUUGAGAGAAGCUGAAAAGUAAAUGAAAUUUUAUUCAAUCAUGUACAUAGUGCAUUUAAUUAUAGGCAUUAUGUAGGGGACACAUGAAAGCAUUCUGGUGGUAUCUUUUGUGUUUCUUCUAUGAUAAGAACAAUGGAAUUGUUUUGUGCAUGUAGGAGCGGACACAUCUUUCCAGGGGAUAAUGCAAUUUAGAGGCUCUUUGUGUUUUAAGUGUUUCUCAGGACUGAUUAAAGCCUUGCACUUGGAUUGGAAAGCGAAUGCUCAUCUGUCUAAUGAAUGUCCUUUCAUUGCAUGAACUUAAGUAGGAGUUAGAGUCAUGACAGGAUUACACAAAGGCAGGUGGCCCAUGAGAAGGGCUGAGGCAAAGUUAAUAGGAAAAGUCUUGGCAUUUAGAGUUUGAGAGAUAUUUACAGAGUUAUUGGAAAUUAGAUUUUCUUAUGCUUUAAUCUAUAAAAUUAAAUAUUUCUUCAUUGUAAUGUGUAUAUUUUACUCACCAUUUUAUCCCUAUUGCCUAGAGCAGCAUCAAUAAAUAACUGGUAGAUGAAUGAGUGAAUUGGAAACUGAAUAAAUAAAUAACAAUGAAUGAUUGAAAUGAAUUAUUGUUUCUCUUAUUGACUAUUAAUUUCAACCUCUCUUCUUCCAUUUCCAACUUUCUAGAGCAGAGAAACUACAACUACAACUAAGGGGCUAAAUCUAGCUUACUGCCUGUUUUUAUAAGUAAAGUUUUAUUGGAAAACAGCCAUACCCACUUGUUUAUGUAUUGUCUAUGGCUAUGUUCAUGAUAUAAUAGCAUAGCUGAGUACUUGCAACACAGACUACAUGAUCCAUGAAGUCUACAAUGCUUACUGUCUGGCUCAUUUUACAGAAUUGUUUGCUGACCCUUGUUCUAGAGCAUGAUCAAGUGCUUAGGCUUUAAAUAAUGGUAAUGCCCAAUAGUGGGAGCCUGAUGGGAUUUGCUAUCAGGAUAUGAUUCAUAACAACAAUUUCAACUUCUUAGGACCCCUUGCAGGCAACUCAUAAAAGAAAAUCUUCCUGUUUGCUUUUUAUGCUAUGCAUUAGGAAAACAGGAGCUUCUCUGAGUAUUUAAAAAUAAGUAAUUUGAAACAGAUAACUGUUUACAAAGAUGUGAGAAGGAAUGGUGGGACAAAGAUGGGAAGGUCACAGGUUAGUAACUGCAGAAAACAAUAAGACUGCCCCAAAAGCUGCAAAAAAAAGAAAAUAAUGAAUGAUGUUACUCGGAGCCCACAAUCGUUGCACCACAACAUUGGUGCUGUUGGACUAGCUGCCUGAGUAGGAGCCCACAACUACACAUGUGCCACCAGCACAGCUGCUGCCACUACCAAAGGUGCCACCAAAAGAUGUAAUUAACAUGCUUUUUCCUCCCUUUCACUUUCCAGGCUCCCAUCAGUGGCCCCUGCCACGGCAUAAGCUAACACAAAGACAGCUGGCAUUUGGUGUCCGACAGAUGUAGUUUACAGGCUGCUAGCCUCAGAAGUAGAGAGAAGUAGGAACAAUGAUUGUAAAGCUGAGUGACAACAGGAACUACCUGCAAAAUGCUCAUAUUUAACUAGCUUGAUCUUGAAGUUUAUAGUCUCAUAUGAAGAUCCUCCCUAGUAGUGGUGGUGGUGGUGGUGGUGGGAGGGAAAGGUGCCAUAAAAAAACACACAAUGGGGCCGGGCACCGUGGCUCACACCUGUAAUCCCAGCACUUUGGGAGGCCGAAGCGGGCGGAUCACGAGGUCAGGAGAUCGAGACCAUCCUGGCUAACACGGUGAAACCCCGUCUUUACUAAAAAUACAAAAAAUUAGCCGGGGGUGGUGGCGGGCACCUGCAGUCCCAGCUACUUGGGAGGCUGAGGCAGGAGAAUGGCAUGAACCUGGGAGGUGGAGCUUGCCGUGAGCCGAUAUUGCGCCAGUGCACUCCAGCCUGGGCGACAGAGCGAGACUCCUUCUCAAAAAAAAAAAAAAAAAAAAAAAGACACAAUGAGAGGGAACAGUAUAUAAGAAGUCAAAGAGUUGUGAAAGAGUAUAUAAAGUAAGAGAAUUUGUUAUCCCUUGCUUGAAAAUAUAUGAUGUGUAGAGAGAAGCACUACUUGUCAAACUAGAGAGAUAAAGUUGGAUAUGGGAGAAAUAGUAAAUCUCAUGCCUAAUUUAUAAAUAAGAAAUAGACUUCAUUAUGAAAUUUUACCAUACUUUGUUCAUUUUGGGUUGGAUAUUCUUCACCAAUAGCCAGAUUUCAGCCACCUAGGCCAAGUGUCUGUAAAAGGGACCAAAGGAAGUUUCAGUUUUUAUGAUGACUCAGAUCGAUUAGCAAUGGCUGCCUGUAGAUCUGAAUGGUGCAGGAUUCUGAGCAACUUCUAGGUUCUUGGGAAAGAGUACCAGGUUUGAUUUAUGAUGUCUACUACCAGCAUAGGAAUGGGACAACGUGUGCUGAUGUAUAAUAGUGUACAUACAUGAGGAUGUUCAAUAAUUUAGUCAUUUUUGAUGACAGCAAAAGGAUUUGUUAAGAGUAUAUGCCAUGACAAGGUAAGUCUUCAAUAUAUAGUUUUAUAGAAAAAAACAAGCAGUUUUAUAGAAAAAAAAAGUCUACAGUGGGUUCUUGGAUUAGCCUCCAAUUGUUCUUUGUUAAAAAAAAAUGGUGACAGCAUGGAUAAGUGUUGUAAGGGAACAGUUUCUGGUUGUUCUGACUCAGGCACCCUUCUUAGAUUACCUGCUGCAUUCGUUGCACGGGAUCUUGCCUGGGCAAGAUAUGUUGCUUUAGGACACCUCUUCAGAAAUUCUUUGUAUAGAAGUAUAAAUUUUAGUCCACAAAAUCUUAUACGAAUCAAACAUAUCACUUUUUAAAUACAUUAACUUAAUUUUUACAUCGUUCCAACUAUCCUGGUUGUGAGUAGGAAAGCAAAACCAAGUGAAUUAAGAGCAUCACAGCACAUAUUUCUCAGGGUGGAUUUUAGAAUAACAGAGACCCUGCCGAGUCCUGGGGAGGCUGAUCUUGUAAGACAUUUACUGAGCCCUGUGCUGUCGUUGUCUUGCCUACAAGUCCUCUUUGGGUCUUAGGUACACAUGGUGAAUUAACUGAUCCACCUCAUGCUGGGGUAUGGAAAAUUUCUGGGAUGCUAUCAAGAGUGCUACACACACACACACACACACACACACACACACACACACACACACACACAGCUAUUUCCCUGCAGCUGCCUUCUUCUUAUCAUCCUGGAGCCUCAACUGACAAGCAAAGCACACAUCCUCACGGCUCUGCUUUUGUAAAGCAAUCUUACUCUUUUUUCUCUUUCACAGAGGUGGCCAGAAAGGAGAAAGGAAUUUAGGGACCUUCACUGCUGCAUUCUGGCUCACUCCCUCCAGCUCUACUUCCCUAGUUUUUGAAGUUGGGGAGCAUUGACUACUUGAAUUGUGAUGCAGGAAGAGUAAGGGUGAGAGGUGAGGAAAGCCUUUAGCAUAAGAAUAUUCUCAACAUAUUUGCUUCUAUAAUUACCAAAACAAUAGCCUUUAAUUACUUAAGCUUUAUAUGGCAAUGCAGAAUUUUAUGCAAAUGCUGCAGGUCAGACAUGUAUUUUUUCAGAUCUCACUGUUCACUUCCUUAUGUCCCUCUUUGGUUUUUCUUUCACAGAAGAGAAAAUAAGUGAAUGAACGAUCUGGGUUAAUACCUUCAUUUUGUAGAUGAGAAAGCAAACAGACAAACUUAACCCCAAAUUCACACACUGAUUUGUGGCAGAGCCAGUAAGAACCAAGUCUGUGGAUUCUGAGGUCAGAAUAUUUCCUCCACAGCUUUGCUUCUCCAAAUGUGGGGAGCAUGAAAAAAAUGGAGGGAAAUGAUUCCAAUCAACAUUUUACAAAAGAAGAUACACAAACAUCUAGCAGUGCAUUGUUAACUAACAGGUUAAUUAAGUUCAUUACUCUUUAGAGAAAUACAAGUUAAAACCACCAGGUUAAGCCACUCCAUGCUCACUAGUAUGACAGAAAUAAAAGAGACAAAAUGCCAACUGCUCAAAAGGAUACAGAGCAAUUACACCCUUAAACACUGUGAUAGGAACACAAAGAUGUUUGUUGAUGUCAUAUAAAUUUAAAUCUAUACUUACCAUAUGACUCAGCAAUCCUAUACUUCUAGAUAUUUAUAUGAGAAAUAAAAACAGAUAUCCAUAAAAAAUUAAUAUAAGAAUGUUCAUAACAUCCAUAUGCAUAAUGGCCUAAAACUUAAAACAACCUGUACCUCUAUGAACAGAGGAAUCAAAUAAAAUUCUAAUAUAUUCAUAAUUUGGAAUAAUGUUUGCAAGAACAAACUUCUUAAACCUAUAACAGUGUGGCUGAAUUUCAAAAAUAUGAUGAGCUAAGCAAACCACACACAAACAUAUACACAUACAUAAACACUCACACACACAUAUUUUGUAUAAUUACAUUUAUAUAAAGCCCGAGGACAGGAAAAUAUAACCAAUAAUAACAAGCUAUCUCUGAGCAAAAGUAAGAGUUUAGCAAAGGGCACUAGGGAACAUUCUCAGAUGAUAGAAUUGUUCCAUAUUUUAUUUCUGGUGAUAAUGACCAGGUAGGUUCAGUUGGGUCAAAUGAGUUAAAAUCAUGACAAACUCAAUAUCCAGGAUUUGUACAUUUUAUUUUGUAAAAAUUAUGUGUGGUAGAAAAACAUCAGAAAUAAAGUAAUAUAACAGUGGUAUUAAAAAAAUGUAAGAUUCCAGGCCAACUCUGGGCACACUGCCUAUGAGUUUGCCCUGCUUCUCAUGGAGCAGUAAAAAACAAACAGCAACAACGACAAAAGUAAGAUCCUGAAAUGAAUCUGGGGAGAGAUACAGAUGUGGCUUCUUUAACUCUGCCAAUCAGAGAUUCUAGUAAGAUAAGUCUUGGCAAAGCCGAGAAAUUUGCCUGGUAAUAAGCCUCCUUAGGUGUUUCUGACACAGACGUCCAGAGGACCACACUUUGAGAAACACCACUCUUAAUUUUACUGCUGAGAAAUAUUCUUAACACUAUUUUUAAUGUUUCCCUUUGAUUGCCCGCUUUCUACUUCUGUGAUGUUGGGUAACUUUUCUCCACAUUUCAGCACUUAUACCAGUCUAAAACAAUCCUGUCCCAUAGUCUGAAUAUCUGGAUUGGUUUCCCUGGCCCACUAACUGGGUUUGAUUAUGUGAACUCUCAGAACAUAUUAAAAACCCUUAAUUAAAACACUUGUAGGAAUCCACAUUCUCUUUGGUGGCACAUAUUUGCUUCAGGCCCGAAACCUAUGUACCUGUCCUGUAAUUUUUAUGUUGUUCUUCUGCUGCUGUUGCUUCUCAACUGGAAAGCAUGAAUGAGAAAAUAACGCUUUGUAGGUGCAACACCUGCCAAAGAAUGUUGCCCAUAAUAUAUGCUUAAUAAAUGGUGUUGGCUUGAAUUGGAAUGGAUAGUUAAGAAAAAAAAGAAAUCAAUAAAGCAGCACUUUGACAGUAUGAGCUUGAGAAGAGCUUCUUCAUUUCAAAUAAGUGAAGACACUUGAGACUUACUUUUUAUAGCACAUGUUAUGUGUCUGGCACUGUGUAGUUACUUUGUUUUCUCAUCAAAUCCACAUGUUUACCUUAUAAAGUAGAUACAUAUUAUCCUCAUUUACAGAUGAGGAAAUUCAGGCUUGAAGUGGCUGAGUGGCUAAGAUCAAAUAAAUAUUGCAUCACUGAGAUUUAAAAAAAAAAUUUUGUGAGGCAGAAAUAAACAACCAAAACUAUUUUAGAAUCUUAGAACAACAAAUGUUUACUUUUUUGUGGGUCAGACUUGGCCCUGUUUUAUACAUAUUCAUAUUGAAGAAAAUAGACUGAAAGAGAAUGCACUAUCCAGGACAUAUUAUCUUCACAGGAGAGAUCACUAUGCAGCCAUGCGAUGGCUCUGAAGUUGCGCUAGAACAUCGAAUCAGCUCUUCUCCCAUUGGCAACGACAAAACUGUCUAAUCCCCUUAAAGGAAAUGGUGAAGCGAACACUUAGGAAAAAAUAAAAUACAGUCUGCUAAAAAUGGUAACUGGCAAAGCCAGGAUUUAAAGUCAGAUAUGUCUUGUUAAGGCCCUUUCACUUACCACUUAAAUAAUCCAUUCAUUCAUUCACUGAUUCACUAAUUCAAUAAUUAUAUUUUAGUCUAUAAGUAGCCUGUAGUGACUGAGAAGAUGUGAUUUGGACCCAGAAAGAUCUGUCUCGGAAUCCUAUCUCUUUCAUUUAUUGACUAUGCAAUAAUAGGAAUUAUAUUCCACUGCAAAAUGAAGUUGAAAAUUUUAAACAUUUAUCCUGAAAAUAAUGACAGGAGUACAAACUCCACCUGUGCAAGUGUGAGAUCUUCCAUUCACAGCUUGGAACACAUGAACCCCUGGAAGUUUUUUUUAUCUUUCUGGCAUUUCCUCUUGUUUCUAUGGGUCCAAGAUUUUAGGAUUCUGGAGAUUAAGAAUAUACUAACUAAACAAUUUUGGAAAUGGAUUUUAUUUUGACACCUAAACACAUUAAACAAACUAGCAUCUACUAGAACAAUCAUUUCACAUUUUAAA